ACCCGGGACCCUUCAGUCUGCGGGCCAACGCUCUAACCACUUAGCUACACUGGCCAGGGCAAAAGUACUGAGAUUUUCUUACAGCCAGUGGUAACACCUCCAACAGAGGUGGAGCAGAUGUCUGAUGGAUUUACUGAGGAAACAAGAGCUGUAGUCUUCUCAGGGAGCCACAGGACUCACUCUCUGCACUUUUAAUUCUUAGCUGCCAUUGGGGUUUAUUCAUCUCCUUUAAAAAGCAAGUCAUAUUUAUUGAGAAAUUGAGAAAAAAAUUCAGGGACACCUUGGACUGUGGAUUAGGCUCCAGACCACAAUAAAACAGAUUUCGCAAUAAAGUGAGUCACAUGAACACUGGUGUCCCAGUGUGUAUAAAAGUUAUGUUUACACUACACUGUAGUCUGUUAAGUUUUUGAUAGCAUUAUGUCUAAAGUAAAGAAUGUGUAUACCUUAAUUUUAAAAAAUUUAUUGAAAGAAAAUGCUAGCCCUCAUCUGAGCAAGCGCAGUCCUGUUGCCGGUGCAGGGCCUUGCCUUGGUGUUGAUGGCGGUGAGCUGACAAGGGUGGCCUGAAGUGGGGGUAGCCUGGCAGUUUCUUAAAGGGAGACAUUGGAGGUUUUGUGUCAAGUGACUCUUCCUCAUGAACGGUUUCCCUGCAGCAUUUUACCCACAGGACUUUCAGAAUUACAGCCAGUCCUCAGGCCCUGCCCCUGCUCUGCCAGCCAAGUUUGUGACACUCUAAGUCCUUUGUUGUCGCUUCUUCACAGCAUCCUCACCAGAAUCCAGGCAGAGCAGAUUCAGCAUCAUUCUUAAGGGCCCAGGAUUUUCUAAGUGGUCGGUGAGCACUGGCUUCAACUUAGAGUCACAGCUGCAUGAGCCCCUAGCAAGAGCCUGCCUGUCCUGUGGGGCCAGGCCCUGACUUCUCCUCUCAGCUGUGGAAGUCCUGGAUGGCGUCUUCUCCCAGCAGGAGGCUGGUUCGUCUCUACUGAGGCUGUUGAAGAGCCUGCUGUCGAGUGUAGCCUCCUUCAGGAACCAUCUUAGUGGAUCUUCUGGGUAACCUGCUGCAGCUUCUGGCUCAGCACUUGCUGCCUCACCUGCCCUUCUCUGUCAUGGAGAUGGCGUCUCUCCUUCAGCUUCAUGAACCGAGCUCCACCAGCUUCAGGCUUUUCUUCUGCAGCCUCCUCACCUCUCAGCUUUCACAGAGCUGAAGAGUGAGGGCCUUGCUCUGGAUUAGGCUUUGGCUUCAGGGAGUGUUGUGGCUGGUGUGAUCUUCCAUCCAGACCAAUAAAACUCUCCACAUCAGCAA